UACGUAGGGUGCGAGCGUUAAUCGGAAUUACUGGGCGUAAAGCGUGCGCAGGCGGUUCUCCAAGUCCGUUGUGAAAGCCCCGGGCUCAACCUGGGAAUGGCAGUGGAAACUAGGGGACUGGAAUCUGGCAGAGGGGGGUGGAAUGCCGCGUGUAGCAGUGAAAUGCGUAGAGAUGCGGCGGAACACCGAUGGCGAAGGCAGCCCCCUGGGCUGAGAUUGACGCUCAGGCACGGAAGCGUGGGGAGCAAACAGG
rnacentral:rRNA from 1 species